UACGAAGGGGGCUAGCGUUGUUCGGAAUUACUGGGCGUAAAGCGCACGUAGGCGGAUAUUUAAGUCAGGGGUGAAAUCCCGGGGCUCAACCCCGGAACUGCCUUUGAUACUGGGCAUCUCGAGUCCGAGAGAGGUGAGUGGAAUUCCGAGUGUAGAGGUGAAAUUCGUAGAUAUUCGGAGGAACACCAGUGGCGAAGGCGGCUCACUGGCUCGGUACUGACGCUGAGGUGCGAAAGCGUGGGGAGCAAACAGG
rnacentral:rRNA from 1 species